rnacentral:rRNA from 1 species
UACGGAGGAUCCAAGCGUUAUCCGGAUUUAUUGGGUUUAAAGGGUGCGUAGGCGGCUUAUUAAGUCAGGGGUGAAAGACGGUGGCUCAACCAUCGCAGUGCCCUUGAUACUGAUGAGCUUGAAUACACUUGAGGUAGGCGGAAUGUGACAAGUAGCGGUGAAAUGCAUAGAUAUGUCACAGAACACCAAUUGCGAAGGCAGCUUACUGGGCCGUGAUUGACGCUGAGGCACGAAAGCGUGGGGAGCAAACAGG